rnacentral:lncRNA from 1 species
UCUCGCUCCCGAGGGCGUAUGAUGGGACGGCUGCCAGGGGUUCCUGCUCCAGUUGGAGCUCUACCUGGCGACCGUCCACCCGGCUCCCUCGGGAUACGAGAGCGUGUCCGCCCUCAUCUCCUGUUUGUCGGGGAGAGCACUUGAGUGGGCCAAUGCCGUAUGGGGGAUAGAAGGCACAGCGUUGGUCCACUACGAGGAUUUCACCCACCGCUUCCGGGCGGUAUUCGAUCAUCCACCUGAGGGGAGAGCGGCGGGGGAAUAGUUGUUCCAUCUUCGACAGGGGAUGAGGAGCGCACUGGACUUCAGGACCCUGGCAGCCAGCGCGGGACGGAAUGAAGGGGCCCUGAUCGACCAUUACCGGUGCGGUCUACGUGAGGACAUUCGUCGGGAGCUGGCAUGCAGGGACACCACCCUUACCCUCGACCAGCUGGUUGAUUUAUCCAUCUGGCUGGAUAACCUAUUGGCCACCUGCGGACGUCCGGAUCGGGGCUCGUCCAUUCCAUCCCCCAGCACCUCCGACCCUACACCUAUGGAGCUCGGAGGUGCUGCUCUGAGGGUGACCGGAGGGGGGGCCGUUUCCUGCACCACAUGUGGCCACAGAGGGCACACUGCUGAUCGGUGCUGGGGAGGUUCCCCAGGGAGUCGAGGCAGCAGGCAGGGCACUGGUGGAUCAUCCCAGGUGAGUAGGCACCCGACUCACCCAGAGCUUCCUGUUGCGCACGUGUGUGUAUAGAAUUUCCUGAGUUUUCCCUGCAUUCCCAGCAUAAAGCGCUAGUAGAUUCAGGUGCAGUUGGGAACUUUAUUGACCGUUCAUUUGCACUUAGAUUAGGGAUCCCUAUUGUUCCUGAUGAUGUGCCCUUCCCUGUACAUGCCUUAGAUAGUCGUCCGUUAGGGUCGGGGCUGAUUAGGGAGGUCACAGCUCCCCUAUGUAUGAUAACGCAGGAGGGUCAUGAGGAGAGAAUUAGUCUCUUCCUGAUCGAUUCUCCUGCGUUUCCUGUGGUGUUGGGCCUUCCCUGGUUGACCUAUCAUGACCCCAAUAUUUCGUAGCAACAGAGGCCUCUCAAGGGAUGGUCACGUUAGUGCUCAGGGAGGUGUGUACCGUAGGUGUUGCCAUAGGUGCAACUACAGUGGAGAGUCCAAACCAGGUCUCCACCAUGCACAUCCCCCCUGAAUAUGCCGAUUUGGCUCUCGCCUUCUGUAAGAAGACUCAACUACCACCCCAUCGACGGGGGCAUUGUGCGAUAAAUCUCCUGGUAGACGCAGCACUUCCCAGGAGUCACGUGUAUCCUCUGUCACAGGAGGAGACGGUGGCUAUGGAAACAUAUGUCUCCGAAUCUCUAGGACAGGGAUACAUUCGGCCUUCCACUUCACCUGCCUCCUCAAGUUUAUUUUUUGUGAAGAAGAUAGAUGAAGGUUUACGCCCGUGUAUUGACUAUCGAGGUAUAAAUCAGAUCACGGUGAAGUACAGUUACCCGCUGCCACUCAUAGCCAGUGUGACAGACAUUGCACGGGGCGCGCUUCUUCACAAAAUUGGAUCUCAGGAGCGCUUACAACCUGGUGUUUAUCCGGGAAGGGGAUGAGUGGAAGACGGCAUUUAGUACCACCUCUGGGCACUAUGAGUACCUCGUCAUACCGUACGGGUUGAUGAAUGCUCCAUCAGUAUUCCAAUCCUUUGUAGAUGAGAUUUUCAGGGACCUGCACGGGCAGGGCGUAGUGGUGUAUAUAGAUGACAUUCUAAUGUACCCCGCUACACGCGCCGAGCAUGUGUCCCUGGUGUGCAGGGUGCUUGGUCGACUGUUGGAGCAUGACCUGUACGUCAAGGCUGAGAAAUGUCUGUUCUUCCAACAGUCCGUCUCCUUCCUAGGGUACCGCCUUUCCGCGUCAGGAGUGGAGAUGGAACAUGACCGCAUUGCAGCCGUGCGUAAUUGGCCGACUCCAACCACGGUAAAGGAGGUGCAGCGGUUCUUAGGGUUUGCCAACUACUACCGGAGGUUUAUCUGAGGCUUUGGUCAGGUAGCGGCUCCCAUUACCUCCUUGUUGAAGGGGGGACUGGUGCGACUGCAGUGGUCAGCUGGGGCGGACAGGGCUUUUGGUCACCUGAAGGCUCUGUUUACCUCGGCUCCCGUGCUGGCUCAUCCUGAUCCCUCCUUGGCAUUUAUAGUAGAGGUGGACGCGUCUGAGGCUGGGAUAGGAGCUGUGCUGUCUCGGUGCUCAGGUACGCCACCAAAGCUCCGCCCCUGUGCUUUCUUUUCGAAGAAACUCAGCCCGGCGGAGCGAAACUAUGAUGUGGGGCUCUGAAGGCUCUGAAGGCGUGGAGACAUUGGCUUGAGGGGGCUAAACACCCUUUCCUCAUCUGGACUGACCACUGCAAUCUGGAGUACAUCCGGGUGACGAGGAGACUGAACCCUCGCCAGGCAAGGUGGGCCAUGUUUUUCACCUGUUUUGUUUUCACCCUAUCCUACAGACCAGGUUCCCAGAACGCUAAGGCAGACGCACUGUCCCGGAUGUAUGACACAGAGGAGCGGUCCACGGAUCCCACUCCCAUACUUCCGGCUUCUUGCCUGGUGGCACCGGUGGUAUGGGAGGUAAACGCGGACAUCGAGCGGGCGUUACGUACAGAGCCCACUCCCACCCAGUGUCCAGUUGGGCGUCUGUAUGUUCCGUCUGCUGUCCGCGAUCGUUUGAUCUGUUGGGACCACACGUCACCCUCCUCUGGUCAUCCUGGCAAUGACGCUGUCAGUGUGAUCAAGGCGAUAAUAUUAUGGCUAGAUCGAUGCACUGCAUUCACGCAAAUGCUGCACCGUUCAUGCUCAAAUGUAAAGCAUUUUGAAGGAUAACUAAUAUAUCAGAAAAAACUAUCUGCAACUAGAGUGGAACCACCAAAGCACUCUUGGUGUUUUUAUGAUUUUGAUUGGAACAUAAAUGCUAUCUCAAUGCACAAGUAAUAACAUAUAUUUAUUUAAAUACAAAAACAUACAUGGCCUAGCUACAUACAUACAUACAUACAUACAUACAUACAUACAUACAUACAUACAUACAUACAUACAUACAUACAUACAUACAUACAUCUUAAAAACAACAGAAAAUAGCAGCAGAAAUUGUUUCAAAAGCAGCCACUUCCUUCACUUAAUCUCUUCUUCCAAGGCUCCUGGAGCUCUUCAUACCUGAUGUUAUGGCUGCUGCAACAACAGGAUAGAACAGAAUCUGGUGUUGAGGUGAAUGCUGUGAGGAAGAGCCGUCGGUAUGAGGUAGAGCUUCCUGGACACAGUCUGGAGAUGAUCCUAUUGAGAUGGAGCCUAGAUGAGCUCCUGCUUUUCCCAUUCUCUCUUUUUCUUGCCCUCCUGGUUUUGACCCUUGCUUGUCCUGACUCUGAGCCCGCCUGCCUGACCACUCUGCCUGCCCCUGAGCCUGCCUGCUGAACUGUACCUUUGCCCCACCUCUGGAUUAUCGACCUCUGCCUAACCUGAGCCUGCCUGCCGUCCAGUACUAUUGCCC